rnacentral:rRNA from 1 species
AGUGAACGCUGGCGGUAGGCCUAACACAUGCAAGUCGAACGGCAGCACAGUAAGAGCUUGCUCUUACGGGUGGCGAGUGGCGGACGGGUGAGGAAUACAUCGGAAUCUACUUUUUCGUGGGGGAUAACGUAGGGAAACUUACGCUAAUACCGCAUACGACCUACGGGUGAAAGCAGGGGAUCUUCGGACCUUGCGCGAUUGAAUGAGCCGAUGUCGGAUUAGCUAGUUGGCGGGGUAAAGGCCCACCAAGGCGACGAUCCGUAGCUGGUCUGAGAGGAUGAUCAGCCACCCUGGAACUGAGACACGGUCCAGACUCCUACGGGAGGCAGCAGUGGGGAAUAUUGGACAAUGGGCGCAAGCCUGAUCCAGCCAUACCGCGUGAGUGAAGAAGGCCUUCGGGUUGUAAAGCCCUUUUGUUGGGAAAGAAAAGCAGCAGGUUAAUACCCCGCUGUUCUGACGGUACCCAAAGAAUAAGCACCGGCUAACUUCGUG